GCUGUAGGGACACAGACUCGGAGGUCACCAGCCCGGACACGCUCAGCCGGAGCUCCCGACCUCGACAACCCUCCCGCUCCGCCGCACCUGUAGAAGUUCUCCGACCCUCCGAUGGCCACCAGGCAGUAGGUGUUGCUUUCCGCUUCCGCCUCGGCCCGCAGAGACUUCCGGGAGAGCCCGGCACGCCAGCCACGCCUGCGCCCCUCUAGCCCCACCCCGGGGAGGGACUCUAUGGCUGCAAAUACUCUGUCCAGCGCCUCGCCUGGCCCCGCUCGCAGCACGCUCGCCCGCCCGCCCUCAUUGGUUCGUUCAUUCUUUCGCUCUGGAGCUUUUUGGGAGGUUCAGGCGACUGAGACCUGUGGCUGGUCGGUGUGACACGAGGGAGAGGAGGAGCCAGCGCCUUCUCCCCGAAGGUGGGGUGAUGAGAGAGCUGCCUGCGACCACCUGCUCGCAGUCGAUGAUGAUGAACUUCUCCAGGGCCUGCCCAGUGAAGCGGCGACCUGCCUUGCUGCACUUCCUGUCUCAGAGAAGCCAGAGGUCCUAGUUCCAAUUCUGCAUCUAAGUUGCUGUGUGACUUGAGCUGCUCCCCCUCCCUCCCUGGAUCUCGGUGUAUACCUCUGUGAAAGUGAAUGUCUGAAGAGAUGAAGCCCUUACCUUGCGGGCCUGGCUGAAGAGGAAACGCAGCAAGUCCUUGAUGUUCUUGGCCUUGUCCCUCUGGAAGUGGACCACAGCCUGGGUGGGGCUGAAGCCUGUGGCCUGUGGAACCUCAGGCCAGCCCAGGUCCAGGUCUGGAGGGUCUACAUCAGAGGCCAUGGGGAAGUAGGUGCCUGAGGUGACUUCAGAGAGCAGGCUGAGGCGGUCAGGCCCUGAGGCCUCAGGGCCCUGGGGCUCACUGAGCUCAGGACCCGCUCGCACAUGGCUGGUCAUGUAGUCCACAUCCAGAGCGCUCAGGAAGGGCAGCUCCCGCUCCUCAGAGAUGACCUGCAGGUAGGCAGCCUCGCCCCUUUCCAGGAGGGCAUCGGUUGCCAGCCUAGCUGCCUCGCUGUGCUGCAGCACCAGAGGUGAGCUCUCCCGCCACCAGGGCCGCUUCAGUUCCUCCACCCGGCCCCGCAGGGGUCCUGCCAUUCCCUGAGUCCCUCCAGGCCCUAGGCCUCCAAACAUUCCUGGCCACUGGGUGCCUCACCUACCGGCAGGUUCCAUUGCCUACACCUGAAUUGGCUGCAGCAGGAAGAGGAUACUAGCUGCACCGCCUCUCGGCCCUCCCAGUAUGAGGCAGGGCCCCCAACUUGUUGCCACCCUAAGUCAGAGCUAUGCUCCGCCCCAUUGCCCCUGGCCUCUGGAACCUGUCAGGUCAGCCCCACCUGUCUGCCUAUGUCAGGACUCGCCUGCCUGGGAAGCGGCAGUGCCAGGCCUUUAGUGCGUGCACACUGCUGCCUCCCUCCCCUUACAUUUCAGGAGCGCCACCCCAUCCCACCAGGCUCCUAGCAAGUCUCCAACCCUGACCUUCUAGGGACCCAUUGAGGUUGGAGACAGGCCGAAGGGGCUGAGCCUGCUCAGGGGCACACACACUCCGUGGUGGUGAAUGACUCAGGACACCCAGAGAAAAGACAUGGACGCACAAGCAGAUACACUUACGGACAGCUGAAUGACAUGUAGACAUGGACCACAGGCUAUCAUGCCACCACACAUAUAAAACAUUAUAGGAAUCUUACUUAUUUUUAAAUUUUAUUAAUACAUGUUUGCAGUACAUAAUGAUUAUAUUCAU